AAUGAGAAAAGUGUAGGGCAGGUUUGCCCCUACGAACAGGUGAAGGCGAAUGACGUGUGGCCACGGUGGUCCUCAUCUGGACAGGGAUAGCCAGUGUUCCCGAUGGUCUGGUAACCUCUAGGUUGCAUCCAGGGCCAGAUUUAGGUUUGAUAAGGCCCUAAACUACUGAAGGUUGUGAACCACGCUGUGAUCUUCAGAUGAGGUCUUAUCUUCAAGAACCAUUCCAGAGGAUAGCAUUGCAUAUCUUGUCUGUAAUGCUAUUUAACAUCUGUAGGAAGUGAUUAGAUCUGGAGCACAGUGUACAUUGAUGAUAUCUCAACUAUUUCUUUGUUAACAUAUGAAUUGGGAAUGGCUGUGUAGGCCCUGGAUCGGUGCCUGGGUGCUAUUGCUCUCCAACAUGAGUUUUAAUCAAC